rnacentral:piRNA from 1 species
UGUCACGAAUCCAGAGAGCACCAGGACU